CCUACGGGAGGCAGCAGUGGGGAAUAUUGCGCAAUGGGCGAAAGCCUGACGCAGCGACGCCGCGUGAGGGAUGAAGGUCUUCGGAUCGUAAACCUCUGUCAGCAGGGAAGAACGGUCACUGUGCUAAUCAGCAGUGAAUUGACGGUACCUGCAAAGGAAGCACCGGCUAACUCCGUGCCAGCAGCCGCGGUAAUACGGAGGGUGCGAGCGUUAAUCGGAAUUACUGGGCGUAAAGCGCUCGUAGGCGGUAUGUCAAGUCAAGGGUGAAAUCCCCGCGCGCAACGUGGGAACUGCCUUUGAAACUGGCAAACUGGAGUGUGUGAGAGGAUAGUGGAAUUCCAGGUGUAGGAGUGAAAUGCGUAGAUAUCUGGAGGAACAUCAGUGGCGAAGGCGACUAUCUGGCACAUAACUGACGCUGAGGAGCGAAAGCGUGGGUAGCAAACAGGAUUAGAUACCCUAGUAGUC
rnacentral:rRNA from 1 species